CAAAGAAACCCUUUCAUCUCUUUUUUGGUCAGAAGUUGCAACGCUGUGGUUUGUGAGAUUUGUUCUUCAACUGUUGGCUGAGAGUGCGAUCAAAACAUUCCUCAAACCACUUUGGAAGCUCUCGAGGACCAAACACACCUAAAAGCUCUUUUGAACACAAACUUCAGUAAUAUCGAUCAAUGGCUCCCUCGUCUGGAGGUAAUUUCUUGUGGAUGAAAAUUAUUAAUGGCAUGAGCAAAGUUGGAAAGAUGGGGGUAUUGAAAAGAGAGGAAUGUGAAGAAAUCAUGUGAUCUGAUGAUGCUUGAGUCUCUUGGGAGUUGGAUGACACAACUCUAAUAGCAUCAACAUUGAAUAACUCAUUAUCUUGAAGCCAACAAAGAUCAAGGGGGAGGAGGGGAUCUUCUUUCUCCGCAAUCCAUUCAUCAUCCGAAUCAAUCUCCUUUACCAAAAUCGGAUCAACAUUUUGUUUCCUUUGUAGACUUCGCCCUCUCAAUCUAGUGUUGUACCUUACAUACACUAGAGAAUUCAACCUUUAAUGUUCAAGUCUAUUUUUUUUUUUUUU